rnacentral:misc_RNA from 1 species
UCGUAACAAGGUUUCCGUAGGUGAACCUGCGGAAGGAUCAUUACCGAGUGCGGGCCCUCUGGGUCCAACCUCCCAUCCGUGUCUAUCUGUACCCUGUUGCUUCGGCGUGGCCACGGCCCGCCGGAGACUAACAUUUGAACGCUGUCUGAAGUUUGCAGUCUGAGUUUUUAGUUAAACAAUCGUUAAAACUUUCAACAACGGAUCUCUUGGUUCCGGCAUCGAUGAAGAACGCAGCGAAAUGCGAUAAUUAAUGUGAAUUGCAGAAUUCAGUGAAUCAUCGAGUCUUUGAACGCACAUUGCGCCCCCUGGUAUUCCGGGGGGCAUGCCUGUCCGAGCGUCAUUGCUGCCCUCAAGCACGGCUUGUGUGUUGGGCUUCCGUCCCUGGCAACGGGGACGGGCCCAAAAGGCAGUGGCGGCACCAUGUCUGGUCCUCGAGCGUAUGGGGCUUUGUCACCCGCUCCCGUAGGUCCAGCUGGCAGCUAGCCUCGCAACCAAUCUUUUUAACCAGGUUGACCUCGGAUCAGGUAGGGAUACCCGCUGAACUUAAGCAUAUC